AUUUUCAGUUAUGUUUAUGACCCAUGAGGUUAGGUUUUGUAGUGAAAACCCUGAGAUUCAACCUAGCAGCCAUAGGUUUAAAACCCUCAUGGGGUGGUUGUCUUUUGCUUAUGGCUAUUUUGACUUUUGAUUCUCGAACCUAGUGGCUGUCUAGGGCCUUAUAAAGGCGAAUUGCACAAUGGGAACAAGAGGAUCAGAUGGCUGAACAAGAACUAAAUGACGAAUCAUUGUUUUCAGUCCAAAUUGCUUGGCUCAAAAAACUGAAUUAAGCUAAUGUUGGUUCUGUUCGGAUCACUAGUUUUUCCAAUUUUCUUCACCUAGGGUAAUUUCACGUUCUGAAUUACUUUGCUUAAAUUGUUAUUUUAUUGACUUUAUAGGCGGAAGAAUAGUCCCUAGGUUCCAAGAAUUGACAUCAGAGAAACUUGGGAAGGCUGGCUUGGUAAGAGAAAAAGCAUUUGGUACAA